AAUAUUGCACAAUGGGGGAAACCCUGAUGCAGCGACGCCGCGUGAGCGAAGAAGGCCUNCGGGUCNUNAAGCUCUGUCCUAAGGGNAGAAACGGACGGUACCUUAGGAGGAAGCCCCGGCUAACUACGGGCCAGCAGCCGCGGUAAUACGUUGGGGGCGAGCGUUAUCCGGAAUUACGGGGCGUAAAGGGUGAGUAGGGGGCCUUUUAAGUCAGAUGUGAAAGGCUACGGCUUAACCGUAGUUAGCAUUUUAAACUAGAAGGCUUGAGUGCAGGAGAGGAGAGUGGAAUUCCUAGUGUAGCGGUGAAAUGCGUAGAUAUUAGGAGGAACACCAGUGGCGAAGGCGACUCUCUGGACUGCAACUGACGUUGAGGAACGAAAGCGUGGGGAGCAAAC
rnacentral:rRNA from 1 species